AACGAACGCUGGCGGCAGGCCUAACACAUGCAAGUCGAGCGAACCCUUCGGGGUUAGCGGCGGACGGGUUAGUAACGCGUGGGAAUAUACCCUUUGGUACGGAAUAGCCUCGGGAAACUGAGAGUAAUACCGUAUGUGCCCUUCGGGGAAGGAUUAUCGCCAAAGGAUUAGCCCGCGUUGGAUUAGAUAGUUGGUGGGGUAAUGGCCUACCAAGUCUACGAUCCAUAGCUGGUUUGAGAGGAUGAUCAGCAACACUGGGACGUGAGACACGGCCCAGACUCCUACGGGAGGCAGCAGUGGGGGAAUCUUAGACAAUGGGCGCAAGCCUGAUCUAGCCAUGCCGCGUGGACGAUGAAGGUCUUAGGGUUGUAAAGUCCUUUCUAGAUGGGAAGGAUAAUGACGGUACCAUCAGAAGAAGACCCGGCCGUAACUCCGUCGCCAGCAGCCGCGGUAAAGUACGAUAU
rnacentral:rRNA from 1 species